GCUAACGUCGUGGCAGAAGCGGCGGUAAGACGAAGGAGGCAAGCGUUAUCCGGAUUCAUUGGGUUUAAAGGGAGCGUAGGCGGACUUAUAAGUCAGUGGUGAAAUCUCUGGGCUUAACCCAGAAACUGCCAUUGAUACUGUAAGUCUUGAGUACAGUUGCCGUUGGCGGAAUAUGACAUGUAGUGGUGAAAUACUUAGAUAUGUCAUAGAACACCGAUUGCGAAGGCAGCUAACGAAGCUGUAACUGACGCUGAGGCUCGAAAGUGCGGGGAUCAAACAGGAUUAGAUACCCUUGUAGUC
rnacentral:rRNA from 1 species